rnacentral:rRNA from 1 species
UUGCGGUAAAAAAGCUCGUAGUUGGAUCUCUGUUGAGGACGACCGGUCCGUACCAUGUACGCGCAUCUGGUUCGGCCUCGGCAUCCUCUCGAUAGACGUUUCUGCGCUUGAUUGCGUGGAGCGGAUUUCGGGACUUUUACUUUGAGGAAAUUAGAGUGUUCACGGCAGGCUAUCGCCAGAAUACAUUAGCAUGGAAUAAUACUAUAGGAGCUCGGUUCUAUUUUGUUGGUUUCUAGACCCGGGGUAAUGAUUAAUAGGGACAAUUGGGGGCAUUUGUAUCAACACGUCAGAGGUGGAAUUCUUGGAUUGUGUUGCGACAAACUACUGCGAAAGCAUUUGCCAAGGAUGUUUUCAUUGAUCAAGAACGAAAGUAAGGGGAUCGAAGACGAUUAGAUACCGUC